CAUCUCUGAGCCCCGCAUUCUAGGGGCGAGUGCCUUGCUCAGACCCAGGGCACCCACAAAACGGGGCCUGAAGGAUUUGCAGCAAUUUUUACACAACUGUUCGAAGCUAUUAAUGGGACAGCAACCAAGUCAGCAUCUUUCUCCCAAGAACUUCCGAGCACAAACAGAGAUGAAGGGAGUCACUGUCAGAUACUGGAGGUAAGUCCAGGCCUAAUUCUAGUGCUUUAUCCUUAAACUACUCGCUACCAAUGAACACACUGGGAAUGUGACUUUUAAAUGAGCCAAGACUCAAAAAGCAGUUCCAAAGCAGUUUUCUAAAACCCCAUGAAGGGGGCAAGGAGCAGUUGUCAAUAUUUCAUAAAUCUAAAGGAAUCCUAUUAGAAACACACCUAUGAUAAGGUUGCCCACCCUUGCUCCACGGUUUUUUUUUUUUCUUUUUUUUUUGGUCUCAAAUAAACUCCGUACAGACAGUUUAGGUAUGCUGAUCAAAAGCUCUGAUGAUAUAACCUGUGAUAAAAAGAAGGAAAAUAUGGUUGCCACCUAAAAUCAUUUAAUACAGGGGCGCCUGGGUGGCUCAGUCGGUUAGGAGUCCGACUUUGGCUCAGGUCUUGAUCUGCUGGUUUGUGAGUUCGAGCCCUGUGUUGGGCUCUGUGCCGACAGCUUGGAGCCUGGAGCCUGCUUUGGAUUCUGUGCCUCCUCCUCUCUCUUCCCCGACUUGUGCUCUGUCUCUAUCAAAAGUAAAUAAAUGUCAAAAAAAAUUAAAAAAUAAAAUCUUUUAAUACAAAAGACGGAAAGGAGGUAGAUGCAGAAGGGGCUGAUGUUGAAAAACGUGAAAACCAUUCAUUUGAAAAAUUGGAAUGUUUCAGCAGUCUUUACAGAGCACAUAUUUGGACUUUUAAAAAACUGCUCUCAAUCUAUUUGCAGGUCUUUACUUUUCUAAUUUCUUGAUAUUAUUUAGACUAACCAACUGAAAAACUGGCAUUACUGGAGCCAUUUUAAAAUCGAGUCUGAGUGGCCAGUGGAGAGAAACUGCCAUACUCACCUUUGAACUGGGUCAAAACCUUUGCACUGGGUAAAACGGCAGUUGUUUUAAGCAACUGUUUGAAAAGUCAGCAGACAGACAUCCGGAUCACAAGUCUGGUGGUUGUGGACUUUCUGAAGACAGAAUCAGCACUCAGUCAGUAUAUAACCCAGAGUAGCCUAGCCUGUUAAAACACCCAUAGAAAAAAAAUUUCUUCCUUAAAUCAUGUCAUUGCACCUCCCUUUGUUUUCCUCAUGAAAACCACCUUGCUUUCCUGAAUCUGUGCUCCCGAAACUGCAACUCUUUGGUCCCAAAUAAAUACUCAUUUGCCUCUCA